CGCGGCCUAUCAGCUUGUUGGUGGGGUGAUGGCCUACCAAGGCUGCGACGGGUAGCCGGCCUGAGAGGGUGUUCGGUCACACUGGGACUGAGAUACGGCCCAGACUCCUACGGGAGGCAGCAGUGGGGAAUAUUGCACAAUGGGCGCAAGCCUGAUGCAGCGACGCCGCGUGGGGGAUGACGGCCUUCGGGUUGUAAACCUCUUUCAAUAGAGACGAAGCGCAAGUGACGGUACCUAUAGAAGAAGCACCGGCCAACUACGUGCCAGCAGCCGCGGUAAUACGUAGGGUGCGAGCGUUGUCCGGAAUUACUGGGCGUAAAGAGCUCGUAGGUGGUUUGUCGCGUUGUUCGUGAAAACCGGGGGCUUAACCCUCGGCGUGCGGGCGAUACGGGCAGACUGGAGUACUGCAGGGGAGACUGGAAUUCCUGGUGUAGCGGUGGAAUGCGCAGAUAUCAGGAGGAACACCGGUGGCGAAGGCGGGUCUCUGGGCAGUAACUGACGCUGAGGAGCGAAAGCGUGGGGAGCGAACAGGAUUAGAUACCCUGGUAGUCCACGCUGUAAACGGUGGGUACUAGGUGUGGGUUUCCUUCCUUGGGAUCCGUGCCGUAGCUAACGCAUUAAGUACCCCGCCUGGGGAGUACGG
rnacentral:rRNA from 1 species